CCUCGGGGGGCAGCAGUGGGGAAUAUUGGGCAAUGGGCGCAAGCCUGACCCAGCGACGCCGCGUGAGGGAAGACGGUCUUCGGAUUGUAAACCUCUUUCAGCAGGGAAGACAAAAGGACGGUACCUGCAGAAGAAGCCACGGCUAACUACGUGCCAGCAGCCGCGGUAAUACGUAGGUGGCAAGCGUUAUCCGGAAUUACUGGGUGUAAAGGGUGCGUAGGCGGGCUUUUAAGUCAGCGGUAAAAAUUCGGGGCUCAACCCCGUCCGGCCGUUGAAACUGGGGGCCUUGAGUGGGCGAGAAGAAG
rnacentral:rRNA from 1 species